GCUGUCGUGGGUCGUGGAAGGCCAUCCCCAUAAAAUGCAUCUAAUGUCUGGUGGAUCUGGUGAGGAGGAGCCGGUGGUUCGAUUCCACCCGACGGCU